AGUUUCCUGUAUAAUGUAUCUAUGUUUAUAUGUCAAGCAAAAGACGAUAUUCCUGAGAUCAUUGCGAUAGUCUAAUGUCUAUAUGUCACUCCGGUCUUCUCGUCAUGCCUCGUGUCCUGCACCAAGCCGGGUGAUCCAUCAGCUGUGCGAUAUGACCUUGACUGACCUUGGGAAAGUUAUCCUGCCAUUUAGUCUGCAAAGGGCGAUAAUGAGUUUUAUGGUGGAUAGGCGUUGACAAACCAAGACGGGCCUGGCGAACUUCUACUGAUUUCUGGCAAUGAGGCGACUUGUAUGAUAUAUAAUUCCAGGGUUAUAUGUCAAUGUGUGACCUAAUAAAUAGGUUUCUGAUCAUGAGGAGCGAGCUUUCUGCUACGCGAAAUUUGAAACCCAUCGAAUAAAUAAAGGAUAAGCAGGAUGCCCAAGCUGUCAACACGUUCAGAAUGUAGAGGAUCACGAGUUAACAAGGGCUGAUGGAGGUUCGUGGCAAACGAGGGUUAACGUUUGUGAGUCCUGACGCGGGAAAGCUGGCCAUCUGAUUUGAAUUCCCCGCACACAAGCCCGAUUUUUUUUAAACCUUCAUUUGCAGCCCGUUCUCCAGAGACGGGGCCACUUAACCAGUUACUGGAGCCAGAGGCGGCACCACCCACAGCCGCGACCGGGGACGCUCCCACUCUCACCGCGCCCACCUCACCGCAAGGCUACGGCAACAACUCUGCUGGACGGCUUCGUCUCGUCGUGCCUGACCAGCGGGUCGUUGGCGGAACUCCGGCGGGGACGGAGGCGACAUGUCCCGACGAGGGACGGCAGCGGGCCGCGGCGUGCUGCUGGGGCUGGCGCUCGGGGUGCUUGUGCAGUUUGCCAGGUCCGAGUACACGCUGAUCAAGAUGCUGGAGAGUAGAGGAUAUGACCGAAACCUGAGACCAAACUUCAAUGGGCCUCCGGUCGAGGUGAGCUUUAGCAUGACCAUAGCCAGCAUCGACCAGAUCUCAGAAGUCAACAUGG